CAUUCUCGCCUCGCCAUGUUGUUUUAGUUUCUCUCAGACAGUGUGUUAUGGUGUUACAGUUUUCUUUAUUAUUAAAGCUUUGUUUGACAUAUACGUGAGCCGCUUACGUUGCUGAAAGAAAAGAAACUCUGCUGAAGAAGGGUGGCAUAUCCUCAAGUUGGCAAAGAAAAAUUAAAUAAGAAGAGUGAAUAACUUGCCUGUCAAACUUUUAAGGUGUUGGCCUUGGGGUUAUUCCAGAAGGAGCCGGAGGCAAGCCCCCAGGAGAUGCUGCGAAAGUAGGGCAGCUGCAAAAAAUCAUGGACAAAUGAGGAACACAGGAAGUAACAGAAACAAAACCCAAGCCACACACCUACUUAAGAUACUGAAUCUUUAUGAUGAUACAUUAU